rfam:Schistosoma rodhaini strain Burundi genome assembly, scaffold: SROB_scaffold0000195
GUUAUUAUUUCGGCGUUACCUCCACUAAAAUUGGAACGAUACAAAGAAAAUGAGCAUAACUACUGCUUCAAGAUUACACGCUAAAUCGUCAACGGUUACUAAUAAUU